CAAAUUACCUAGUUUAGUUUAGAAUUCCAUUUACACUGGAAUAUAGGUCGUGCAAUUCGAUAUAAUUUGA
rnacentral:tRNA from 1 species